GGGGGGAGCAAGCGUUGUUCGGAUUUACUGGGCGUAAAGGGCGCGUAGGCGGCCACCGCAAGUCAAUUGUGAAAUCUCCGGGCUUAACUCGGAAAGGUCAACUGAUACUGCGGGGCUAGAGUGCAGAAGGGGCAACUGGAAUUCUCGGUGUAGCGGUGAAAUGCGUAGAUAUCGAGAGGAACACCUGCGGCGAAGGCGGGUUGCUGGGCUGACACUGACGCUGAAGUGCGAAAGCUAGGGGAGCGAACGGGAUUAGAUACCCCGGUAGUCCUAGCCUUAAACGAUGAAUGCUUGGUGUCUGGGGUUUUAAAGUCCCCGGGUGCCGUCGCUAACGCUUUAAGCAUUCCGCCUGGGGAGUACGGUCGCAAGACUGAA
rnacentral:rRNA from 1 species